rfam:Hydrogenophaga sp. T4 contig001819, whole genome shotgun sequence.
UCACCCGUCAUUGGGGAGUAGCCGCUCUGCACCAUGCAGAGGUCCGCGUCAACACACUUGGCCCCCAUGGCCAUGGCGCCGACAGCUUCAAGCCUGGCAAGACCUUUGACCGCACAGCCGCCGGAAGGGCCGGGGCUGCUGUGCGGUCUUUUGGUUUUUCCGGCCCCUGGAGC